UACGUAGGGGGCAAGCGUUGUCCGGAAUCAUUGGGCGUAAAGAGCGCGUAGGCGGCCCGGUAAGUCCGCUGUGAAAGUCCAGGGCUCAACCCUGGGAUGCCGGUGGAUACUGUCGGGCUCGAGUCCGGAAGAGGCGAGUGGAAUUCCUGGUGUAGCGGUGAAAUGCGCAGAUAUCAGGAGGAACACCAAUGGCGAAGGCAGCUCGCUGGGACGUGACUGACGCUGAGACGCGAAAGCGUGGGGAGCAAACAGG
rnacentral:rRNA from 1 species